GGGCCCGCACAAGCAGUGGAGCAUGUGGUUUAAUUCGACGCAACGCGAAGAACCUUACCAGCGUUUGACAUGAGAAGUGCCGGUUACAGAAUGGUAACCUUCAGUUCGGCUGGCUUCUACACAGGUGCUGCAUGGCUGUCGUCAGCUCGUGUCGUGAGAUGUUGGUUAAGUCCCGCAACGAGCGCAACCCUUAUCGUUAGUUACUAACAGUUCGGCUGAGGACUCUAGCGAAACUGCCGGUGAUAAGCCGGAGGAAGGUGGGGGAUGACGUCAAGUCCUCAUGGCCCUUACACGCUGGGCUACACACGUGCUACAAUGGUAACUACAACGGGACGCCAAUACCGCGAGGUGGAG
rnacentral:rRNA from 1 species